GGUGAGGUGGGUGAGUGGCUGAAACCAUCAGUUUGCUAAACUGACGUACUCGCGAGGGUAUCGGGGGUUCGAAUCCCCCCCUCACCGCCA
rnacentral:tRNA from 1 species